rnacentral:rRNA from 1 species
AGAGUUUGAUCCUGGCUCAGGAUGAACGCUAGCUACAGGCUUAACACAUGCAAGUCGAGGGGCAGCAUGGUCUUAGCUUGCUAAGGCCGAUGGCGACCGGCGCACGGGUGAGUAACACGUAUCCAACCUGCCGUCUACUCUUGGACAGCCUUCUGAAAGGAAGAUUAAUACAAGAUGGCAUCAUGAGUCCGCAUGUUCACAUGAUUAAAGGUAUUCCGGUAGACGAUGGGGAUGCGUUCCAUUAGAUAGUAGGCGGGGUAACGGCCCACCUAGUCUUCGAUGGAUAGGGGUUCUGAGAGGAAGGUCCCCCACAUUGGAACUGAGACACGGUCCAAACUCCUACGGGAGGCAGCAGUGAGGAAUAUUGGUCAAUGGACGAGAGUCUGAACCAGCCAAGUAGCGUGAAGGAUGACUGCCCUAUGGGUUGUAAACUUCUUUUAUAAAGGAAUAAAGUCGGGUAUGUAUACCCGUUUGCAUGUACUUUAUGAAUAAGGAUCGGCUAACUCCGUGCCAGCAGCCGCGGUAAUACGGAGGAUCCGAGCGUUAUCCGGAUUUAUUGGGUUUAAAGGGAGCGUAGGCGGAUUGUUAAGUCAGUUGUGAAAGUUUGCGGCUCAACCGUAAAAUUGCAGUUGAUACUGGAUAUCUUGAGUGCAGUUGAGGCAGGCGGAAUUCGUGGUGUAGCGGUGAAAUGCUUAGAUAUCACGAAGAACUCCGAUUGCGAAGGCAGCUUGCUGGACUGUAACUGACGCUGAUGCUCGAAAGUGUGGGUAUCAAACAGGAUUAGAUACCCUGGUAGUCCACACGGUAAACGAUGAAUACUCGCUGUAGGCGAUAUACAGUCAGCGGCCAAGCGAAAGCAUUAAGUAUUCCACCUGGGGAGUACGCCGGCAACGGUGAAACUCAAAGGAAUUGACGGGGGCCCGCACAAGCGGAGGAACAUGUGGUUUAA